UUGUAAGUCAUUUCUUCAAAAAGAAAGAAUCUCCCAGUGCCAGAAAUGGAUCUAGAAAUUUCUCUCAGGCUGGCUGUUGAGGAAUCAGAGAGUAGAAAGUUCUCCUGAACUCCAUCAGAAACACCCCCAGUUUUACUUUUGUGUGUGUGUGCAGGGUCUCACAUGUACCUAGCAAGUGCUCUAGGCAGAGCUACACCUGCAGCCCUGAAGGCAGGAUUCUGUCACUAAAUCUGCUCUCCCUCAUGGUUUCAUAACCAAAGAGAUAAGCCCCAGCUUGGUUCAUUAUGACAGUUGUGUGAUGUUAGGGCAGCUGGCGGUCUUGAGACCUGUGGGAUGUCUUGGGAAGAGUGCAAUCAGAAUGGCUUUAAGUGGGCCAGGAUGAGCUUUAUCCUAAAGACAGGAAACUCUGCUGCUUUUGUUUCCAGAAAACAGACCAAAUAGGCAGCAGAAACAACAUUCAGAUGCCCAGCUGUAUGAAUCACAAAAGCAAAUGUAAAAUAUUAUGCAUGUGGACAAAACCUUAACCAGGGCUUACUGAAAGUAGCUAAUUUAAUGGGAUACAUGAAUUCUGUCAGUCAGUACAG
rnacentral:lncRNA from 1 species